rnacentral:rRNA from 1 species
ACAGCAGCAGCCACGGUAAUACAGAGGGUGCGAGCGUUAAUCGGAUUUACUGGGCGUAAAGCGUGCGUAGGCGGCUUUUUAAGUCGGAUGUGAAAUCCCUGAGCUUAACUUAGGAAUUGCAUUCGAUACUGGGAAGCUAGAGUAUGGGAGAGGAUGGUAGAAUUCCAGGUGUAGCGGUGAAAUGCGUAGAGAUCUGGAGGAAUACCGAUGGCGAAGGCAGCCAUCUGGCCUAAUACUGACGCUGAGGUACGAAAGCAUGGGGAGCAAACAGGAUUAGAUACCCGGGUAGUCCCUGUCUCUUAUAC